rnacentral:tRNA from 1 species
GGGGGCAUAGCUCAGUUGGUAGAGCGGUAGCUUUGCAAGCUAUAGGUCAGGGGUUCGAAUCCCCUUGCCUCCACCA